CUUAGUGGCGGACGGGUGAGUAACGCGUGGGGAACCUGCCCUGUACAGGGGGAUAACACUUAGAAAUAGGUGCUAAUACCGCAUAAGCGCACAGUNUCGCAUGAUACAGUGUGAAAAACUCCGGUGGUACAGGAUGGACCCGCGUCUGAUUAGCUGGUUGGCGGGGUAACGGCCCACCAAGGCGACGAUCAGUAGCCGGCCUGAGAGGGUGAACGGCCACAUUGGGACUGAGACACGGCCCAAACUCCUACGGAAGGCAGCAG
rnacentral:rRNA from 1 species